GACGAUCCGCCGGCCGCAGGUGUUGGCUGUCUUCUAACUUGACGAUCCGCCGGCCGCAGGUGUUGGCUGUCUUCUAACUUGACGAUCCGCCGGCCGCAGGUGUUGGCUGUCUUCUAACUUGACGAUCCGCCGGCCGCAGGUGUUGGCUGUCUUCUAACUUGACGAUCCGCCGGCCGCAGGUGUUGGCUGUCUUCUAACUUGACGAUCCGCCGGCCGCAGGUGUUGAACCUCCUUUACACCGCAGGAGUUGAGCAGCCUUUCCAUAGCUGGGCAGCUUUGAAGAACGACUGGCGUCAGUUGACGGGGCCGGCCGGGUGAAGACGCCUUUUUACCCGGAUUGCAGACAAAGCAUGCAGGGGUUGAUCCCUGCUUCGACGUUCGGUCACCUG